GGAACGGGAACGGGAACGGGAACGGGAAUGGGAAUCGGGAACGGGGACGGCACCGGGGCAGAGGCUCGGGCAGGGCCCGGUGCCGGUGCCGUUCCCUGUCCCUGUCCCGGUGCCGGUCCCGUCGCGCCCGGGCCGUGUCGCGACUGUCGCGGGUGGUGCCGGCUCGGGAGCGGCACGGCCCGGCCGGGCACGGAGCCCAACAGGCUUCGAGGUUUUGCCUUUCCCCCCUGUUUUUCCAUCGUUUAUUUUCCCGCAUUUUCUCUUCCCCGUUUUAUUUUCCCUGUUCUUCUUUUUUUAUAUAUUUUUCCCUUUCUUCCUUUUCCUUGUUUCCUUUCGAAUUUCUCGUUUUUCCCUUUCUUCCUUUUCCUUUAUUCAUUUUUAAUUACUCUUUCCAUUUUUUUUCUUUCCCUUUUUUCUUUUUCCUGUUUUCUUUUCACAUAUUUUCCCUUUCUUUCCUUCCCUUUUUUUUUUUUUUUCCCUUUUCUUUUCCUCUGCUUUGUUUUUUCCCCCCUUUUUUCUUACCGGUAUUUUUUUCUUUUCCUCUUUUUAUUCUUUUUUUCCGUAUUUAAUUUUUUUCUUUCUUUCCGGCUGAAACCCUCUUUACCAGGGCAGCCUGACUAAUCCCAUCUCUUGCUGCUCUCCUGGCUCCAAGAUGACAGAGAGGAAUCAGAAUCCCAGGCUGGUUUGGGUUGGAAGGUUGGAUUUUAAGGCAUUUGGACUUAGAGGAGUAUCAGAUUUUCAGGGCUCUCAGUGUGUCCUGGUUAGGAUUGCUCUUCAGGCAGAGUUUCCCAGGUGGAUCUGCAUGGAUCUCACAUUCCCUGUGCUUUCCCAGACAGAGCCAUGCUUCCAUAGGGCAAAAAGCAGGGAGCAUCUCCCCAGGGGGAUCAUUCCUCAGGGAUCCAGGGGGAGCUGGGCUCUCUGGAGACCUGUGGGACAGGCCUGCUGGAACCCCAAACAGGGCACAGGCUGGCUUUAAAAAUGGGCUCAAAAAGCAGAAAUUGCACAACAAGGACACAGUAAAGUUGGAGAAAAUCUUUUAAAUUGUACCCAAAAUACCCCAACAAAUGAGCAGAACUUUUCCUACAGCUCCUCCAGGUUGGGUGUCCAGUGGAGCUGGGUUUGGCAUGAGUCAGGUUUCAUCUCUGAGGUCUUUAUCCCAUCAGUGAAAAGGAGUGGAUUUCCCAGGGCUUUCAGCUGGACAGGAAAGUGAGGGUGAUUUCCCUGCAGGGAGAGGUGUUGUUCCUGCCUGUUGCUGGUGUCCUGCUCCUUUCCCAGCUGCCUGCCCAGAUCAUUCCCUGGCACGAGCAAACAGUCCCUGCUUGCCUUUGGAGCAGGGUCCCUGGCACAGGCAGGGCUCUGCCGUGGCUGCUUCUUCCCCAGGAGACAAUCCCAGAGGCUGGAGUCUCCCCUGAGCAAGAAGCUCCCCCAGGCUGGCAUUGGGAUGAGUUUGUCUCCUCCUGUGCUGAAUUCCUGACACUGAGCAAACCCCCAAAACAAUACCUGGAGUUUGUUUUCAGUCAGCCAAAUUCCUUCUGGAGUGGGGCAUUGGGUAAUUUUUCCCUUUGCCCCCUCAUCUGACACAUAUUCCCCGUUUGCUGCUGCACUUUGCCUUUCCCUGCAGUGAAGGAGGAGUUCUGCAGCAGCAGAGGCAGGGGAUAUUUUCCCAGUGGGAGGCAAUCUCAAGGAUUUAGAGGACCUCCCCAGACUUUUAUUGCAUUAUUCCCUUUCUUACUGCAGUACAUAUUUCACUUUUGGAUUCCCUUCCCAUCCUGAUAUCCUGCCUCCCUUCCUGCUGGUCCCAUCUCAGCUGUUUCCUGCUGAGGUUCUGGGUGCAUUGAUCCAUUUUUGGUUUUCCACAACUUAUUCCAACUUUAAAUUCCGUUUGUGUGCUUCAGUAGUCUGUUAGUUCUGUGCCAGCACACCUUCCUGGAGAAAUGGGAUGUUGGGAUUCCUUAAACAAAGUUUCUUUGGGAAGGAACAUCCCAAGUGUGUGAGUGUCUCUCUGGCAUUCAGGCCCUCAAUCCGUGUCAGUUUGGGAAUUCCCAUGUUUGUGUUCAUUUCCUGGGCAGUUCCAGGGAGCCCUGCCUGGGUGUGGGUCACCCUCCCUUUCCAGGGGUGCUCUCAGCCCAGGGAUGUUCUUCUGGAGGUUUCCACGUGGUGUUUUCCAUGGAUUUGCAGCUGAAGCUCCCCAUUCCCAGCGUGCUGCUCAGAGCAGCAGUUUGGGAGCCCCUGGUCCUGGGCAGGGCUCAGGCACAGCUCCAGGAGAAGUGAGUGGAUGGAAUAGCUCUGGGAGAAGGUGCCUGUGUUCAGGGAAGGCACAAAACAUCCUUUCAAGGAUGUUCCCCUCACUGGGAUCACGGAUCCAAGGCUGUUCCUUCUGUUUCCUGGAUUUAAUCACUCCUUCCACACAAUUCCUUGGAUCAGCCCCAUGCCAGGUCCUGCUGGGGUGGAGGCUCAGGGAUGCCUUUUCCCAGGGAUUUCAUGUGGCACAGGGAGGUGUGAGGUACAGAAUUCCUGCUCCCAGGGGCACAGGGAGGUGUGAGGUACAGAAUUCCUGCCAGGUACAGAAUUCCUGCCCCCAGGGAGGUGUGAGGUACAGAAUUCCUGCUCCCAGGGGCACAGGGAGGUGUGAGGUACAGAAUUCCUGCCAUGUACAGAAUUCCUGCUCCCAGGGAGGUGUGAGGUACAGAAUUCCUGCCAUGUACAGAAUUCCUGCUCCCAGGGAGGUGUGAGGUACAGAAUUCCUGCUCCCAGGGGCACAGGGAGGUGUGAGGUACAGAAUUCCUGUGAGGUACAGAAUUCCUGCCCCAGGGAGGUGUGAGGUACAGAAUUCCUGUGAGGUACAGAAUUCCUGCCCCAGGGAGGUGUGAGGUACAGAAUUCCUGCCCCAGGGAGGUGUGAGGUACAGAAUUCCUGCUCCCAGGGAGGUGUGAGACACAGAAUUCCUGCCCCCAGGGAGGUGUGAGGUACAGAAUUCCUGCUCCCAGGGAGGUGUGAGACACAGAAUUCCUGCCCCCAGGGAGGUGUGAGGUACAGAAUUCCUGCCCCAGGGAGGUGUGAGGUACAGAAUUCCUGUCAGGUACAGAAUUCCUGCUCCCAGGGAGGUGUGAGGUACAGAAUUCCUGCUCCCAGGGAGGUGUGAGACACAGAAUUCCUGCCCCCAGGGAGGUGUGAGACACAGAAUUCCUGCCCCCAGGGAGGUGUGAGGUACAGAAUUCCUGUCAGGUACAGAAUUCCUGCCCCAGGGAGGUGUGAGGUACAGAAUUCCUGUCAGGUACAGAAUUCCUGCCCCGGGGAGGUGUGAGGUACAGAAUUCCUGCUCCCAGGGAGAUGUGAGACACAGAAUUCCUGCUCUCCCAGCACGAGGGGCAGAGGGGAACCCAAACCUUGCUGUUCUGCCCUGGUGCCUCGUAGCCCAUUGUUCUCCUGGUGUUCCUCCCAGUGCAGCUGGCAUCCUCGGGAGGCACAGGAGGCUCCCAGGACGUGGGGCCUGUGCUGGCACAGAGAUGUCACUGCUGCUCUUGGCUG